GAUGAACGCUGGCGGCGUGCCUAAUACAUGCAAGUCGAGCGAACAGACGAGGAGCUUGCUCCUCUGACGUUAGCGGCGGACGGGUGAGUAACACGUGGAUAACCUACCUAUAAGACUGGGAUAACUUCGGGAAACCGGAGCUAAUACCGGAUAAUAUAUUGAACCGCAUGGUUCAAUAGUGAAAGACGGUUUUGCUGUCACUUAUAGAUGGAUCCGCGCCGCAUUAGCUAGUUGGUAAGGUAACGGCUUACCAAGGCGACGAUGCGUAGCCGACCUGAGAGGGUGAUCGGCCACACUGGAACUGAGACACGGUCCAGACUCCUACGGGAGGCAGCAGUAGGGAAUCUUCCGCAAUGGGCGAAAGACUGACGGAGCAACGCCGCGUGAGUGAUGAAGGUCUUCGGAUCGUAAAACUCUGUUAUUAGGGAAGAACAUGUGUGUAAGUAACUGUGCACAUCUUGACGGUACCUAAUCAGAAAGCCACGGCUAACUACGUG
rnacentral:rRNA from 1 species